AAAAUUCACAGCAAACACGGUUAUGGGCUUGUUCUAAAUCAAUAUGAUGGCCAUGUCCCUUGACUACCAGUUUGCUUCUACAUAUAAAUCAAACAUUUCAGUCAGAGGAAAACUUUUCCCUCUUUUCCAGUCGUCCUUAUUUCGUUCGAUCAUCAGCCAUUCCCAGCUCUUCGGGGUUAGGGAUGGCGUUUUAACAGCUGGGAGGUGGAUUUAUCUUAUCUUCUUUCUGGAUUUGGGUGUGUAUAAUUUUGGAGUGUCUCUGUUGUUGUGGGUUUGUAAAUAUAGGCCGUUAUUCCUAGAGAGAGGUCGAAAUGAUCAUAUUUGCAUCAAGUUCGUUGUUUUCUCUUGCAUCCUCCCAAGUGGCUAGUAAUCUUGGUGGACGUGGGACAACUUGAUCUCUAGUUUUCAUCUAGGCUAAAAAGGAGAAUGAAAUGCCGAGCUCUACAAUGCCUGUUCCGGGCUCGUCUGGCAUCUCCUUGGUCCUUGGUUUCCAUGGCUGACAUGAUUUACUUCGGACAAUGCAAGUUUAUGGUUCAUUGGUUAGGGAUCUUGGUUUUUAUGAUUGAGUGGUUUUGUAUGCCAAAUGCUUGGCACAAAUCCCUUGUGUUUGUGUUUUCCGUAAGGUCUGUGCCUUCCUGAUGGUAGCCGAUGGAGCUCUUUGUAGGUGCUGAUGGUUGUGUCUGGUAUUGUUU
rnacentral:misc_RNA from 1 species